UAGACUGCGUGGGUGAGCGUGGCCUGCAGAACCACACACGGCCGGUCAUGCCGGGUGACUCCCAGGGGAUACUAUCACCCCAGGUUAAGUGUCUUCAUCCAUGACUGCCAACACGAGGGCCUCCUCGCGGCCGACGCAAGGACUGAGCCCGGAGCCUGGUAGACGGCGGUCAUCCAGGGGACGGCAGGGGACGGCUGCCACCCCAUCAUCAAAGCCAGCCUGUGGGUGCUCACCUCCGCUGAGGGACAGAUAACAGCGUGCGUGCUUGCUGACGGGAAAAACCCAGUAGGAAAACAACGGAGCCAGGGAAACAAGCAGAGGUUUGUUGGAGGAACACCGUUGAGCAGGCGGGAUGAGACGGGCCUGGUGCACACGAGGGCGUCUGCUUUGUCGCAGACAAGGACAGUCAUUGCGGUCGGUCGUCAGGACGGAAGGCAGGGCUGAGGGCACAGAUGGGGACAUAGGUACCUUGUCUGACUGCCCCGGCUCUCCGGGAGGCCAGAGGAGGGGCCGCCCGAGGACACAGCAGGAAGGUGGCCGUGGGGAGCCCAGGCGAGUCCUCGCCGGGAAGCAGUCCUGAGGACACCUCGACCUUGGACCCCCAGCCGCCGGGACCGUGAGAAAACCGGUGUCCGGUGUUUCAGCCGCCUGUGAGGUGUUUGUUAUGGGGCCGGGCUACUGACUUCAGGGUGACCACUCGGUCUGGACAUCGAGGGCCCCGAGCCUGUAAUUUGGACCGGUGUUCAGGUGACCUUGGUUUGAGGGGCAUCCUCGCACCCCCACCUGAAGCACCGGGGCGUCACCGUCCGCGGGCGAGUGUCGUCCACCAGCUCCUCCCGCUGUUGGACCAGGAGGGGCCGCGUUCCCACGGCUACUCAGGCCGCGCCCCAUGCCGGCUGUGGCCACAGGGACUCCUGUGCCCCCAUCUGGGCCCAGGCUGCCAGCACCGGGGCGAGGAAUGCCCUGUAGGGACCUUGGACACUUGCACGGGAACGGAGUGUCCCCGAGCAACCUGCCACCCUUGGAGAGUUGCCACAGGGAAUCUCCAGGCAGCCCUGGAGUGGGAGGGUCGGCAGAGCGUGGCCCUGGGUUAACG